CACUAUCGUUAACUGAAUACAUAGGUUAACGAGGCGAACCGGGGGAACUGAAACAUCUAAGUACCCCGAGGAAAAGAAAUCAACCGAGAUUCCCCCAGUAGCGGCGAGCGAACGGGGAGCAGCCCAGAGUCUGAAUCAGCUUGUGUGUUAGUGGAACGGUCUGGAAAGUCCGACGGUACAGGGUGAUAGUCCCGUACACCAAAAUGCACAGGCUGUGAACUCGAAGAGUAGGGCGGGACACGUGGUAUCCUGUCUGAAUAUGGGGGGACCAUCCUCCAAGGCUAAAUACUCCUGACUGACCGAUAGUGAACCAGUACCGUGAGGGAAAGGCGAAAAGAACCCCGGCGAGGGGAGUGAAAAAGAACCUGAAACCGUGUACGUACAAGCAGUGGGAGCACCUUCGGGUGUGACUGCGUACCUUUUGUAUAAUGGGUCAGCGACUUAUAUUCUGUAGCAAGGUUAACCGUAUAGGGGAGCCGCAGGGAAACCGAGUCUUAACUGGGCGUUAAGUUGCAGGGUAUAGACCCGAAACCCGGUGAUCUAGCCAUGGGCAGGUUGAAGGUUGGGUAACACUAACUGGAGGACCGAACCGACUAAUGUUGAAAAAUUAGCGGAUGACUUGUGGCUGGGGGUGAAAGGCCAAUCAAACCGGGAGAUAGCUGGUUCUCCCCGAAAGCUAUUUAGGUAGCGCCUCGUGAAUUCAUCUUCGGGGGUAGAGCACUGUUUCGGCUAGGGGGUCAUCCCGACUUACCAACCCGAUGCAAACUACGAAUACCGAAGAAUGUUAUCACGGGAGACACACGGCGGGUGCUAACGUCCGUCGUGAAGAGGGAAACAACCCAGACCGCCAGCUAAGGUCCCAAAGUCAUGGUUAAGUGGGAAACGAUGUGGGAAGGCACAGACAGCCAGGAUGUUGGCUUAGAAGCAGCCAUCAUUUAAAGAAAGCGUAAUAGCUCACUGGUCGAGUCGGCCUGCGCGGAAGAUGUAACGGGGCUAAACCAUGCACCGAAGCUGCGGCAGCGACACUAUGUGUUGUUGGGUAGGGGAGCGUUCUGUAAGCCUGCGAAGGUGACCUGUGAGGGUUGCUGGAGGUAUCAGAAGUGCGAAUGCUGACAUAAGUAACGAUAAAGCGGGUGAAAAGCCCGCUCGCCGGAAGACCAAGGGUUCCUGUCCAACGUUAAUCGGGGCAGGGUGAGUCGACCCCUAAGGCGAGGCCGAAAGGCGUAGUCGAUGGGAAACAGGUUAAUAUUCCUGUACUUGGUGUUACUGCGAAGGGGGGACGGAGAAGGCUAUGUUAGCCGGGCGACGGUUGUCCCGGUUUAAGCAUGUAGGCUGGUUGUCCAGGCAAAUCCGGAUAAUCAAGGCUGAGGUGUGAUGACGAGGCACUACGGUGCUGAAGUAACAAAUGCCCUGCUUCCAGGAAAAGCCUCUAAGCAUCAGGUAACAUUAAAUCGUACCCCAAACCGACACAGGUGGUCAGGUAGAGAAUACCAAGGCGCUUGAGAGAACUCGGGUGAAGGAACUAGGCAAAAUGGUGCCGUAACUUCGGGAGAAGGCACGCUGGUGUGUAGGUGAAGUCCCUGCGGAUGGAGCUGAGACCAGUCGAAGAUACCAGCUGGCUGCAACUGUUUAUUAAAAACACAGCACUGUGCAAACACGAAAGUGGACGUAUACGGUGUGACGCCUGCCCGGUGCCGGAAGGUUAAUUGAUGGGGUUAUCCGUAAGGAGAAGCUCUUGAUCGAAGCCCCGGUAAACGGCGGCCGUAACUAUAACGGUCCUAAGGUAGCGAAAUUCCUUGUCGGGUAAGUUCCGACCUGCACGAAUGGCGUAAUGAUGGCCAGGCUGUCUCCACCCGAGACUCAGUGAAAUUGAACUCGCUGUGAAGAUGCAGUGUACCCGCGGCAAGACGGAAAGACCCCGUGAACCUUUACUAUAGCUUGACACUGAACAUUGAGCCUUGAUGUGUAGGAUAGGUGGGAGGCUUUGAAGCGUGGACGCCAGUCUGCGUGGAGCCAACCUUGAAAUACCACCCUUUAAUGUUUGAUGUUCUAACGUUGGCCCCUGACCGGGGUUGCGGACAGUGUCUGGUGGGUAGUUUGACUGGGGCGGUCUCCUCCCAAAGCGUAACGGAGGAGCACGAAGGUUAGCUAAUCCUGGUCGGACAUCAGGAGGUUAGUGCAAUGGCAUAAGCUAGCUUGACUGCGAGCGUGACGGCGCGAGCAGGUGCGAAAGCAGGUCAUAGUGAUCCGGUGGUUCUGAAUGGAAGGGCCAUCGCUCAACGGAUAAAAGGUACUCCGGGGAUAACAGGCUGAUACCGCCCAAGAGUUCAUAUCGACGGCGGUGUUUGGCACCUCGAUGUCGGCUCAUCACAUCCUGGGGCUGAAGUAGGUCCCAAGGGUAUGGCUGUUCGCCAUUUAAAGUGGUACGCGAGCUGGGUUUAGAACGUCGUGAGACAGUUCGGUCCCUAUCUGCCGUGGGCGCUGGAGAAUUGAGGGGGGCUGCUCCUAGUACGAGAGGACCGGAGUGGACGCAUCACUGGUGUUCGGGUUGUCAUGCCAAUGGCACUGCCCGGUAGCUAAAUGCGGAAGAGAUAAGUGCUGAAAGCAUCUAAGCACGAAACUUGCCCCGAGAUGAGUUCUCCCUGAGACUUUAAGUCUCCUGAAGGAACGUUAAAGACGAUGACGUUGAUAGGCCGGGUGUGUAAGCGCAGCGAUGCGUUGAGCUAACCGGUACUAAUGAACCGUGAGGCUUAACCUU
rnacentral:rRNA from 1 species